GAAUGUGGGGUAUACUGUGAGGCAAAUGCAUUCUUAUGAGGAUGCAUCUCAACAGUUGUGAAACACUGAAAUCCUUGGGCAGGACACUGUAAGUGUAAAAGAUAAGUCAGACAUAAAACCUUUCAGAGCACUGGAGCAAGAGAUGAGACAAGGAACAAGCAGGCCGGAGAAGGACAUCUGUCUGUCUGCAUUCUGGAGAAACCAGUGAGGGGCAGCAGGUUUUCACAUGGAAAAUAUUACUGUCUUUCAUGUUUAAGGAAAUAUGGAGCUUUCGUCUCUUUCUUCCAUUGCAUCGAAAUGACGACAUGCAAAUAUUUGCAAAUGAAUGCUACAAAACACUCCUGAACCACCAAUUGAUAACUGUUUUACGACUUUAUUGGAUAUAGAAGCUCUGAGGUGAAGUUGACCAAAAUAUAUUGAGUUCCAUCUUCUGAUUCCUGAAUUUGGGAUGUAAUUGAUUACUGUCUGUCUCAGGAGCUGUGUGUGUACAGAUCACCCACUGUUGACCAAACUGAUUAUCAUAAUUCCAUGGAACUGCAUGUAGGUGGAGCUCUGUAACCUCUCUCUUUACAAAACUUACAGCAGAAAACAUCUGUCCAUAAACAUGUCAAUAAGUGGAAUAUAAAGAAAAGGCAACACAGAAGAAUUUUUUCUAAUAAAGUGAGAUACUGA